CUGCCGACCACUCCGCUACCCGCCUUACCGGCGCCAUGGCACACCAACCAACUCGCCAGAAAAACGCAACGGACGCUGUUAAAAUACGUCAUGAGACAAAAACAAUCAAUCACCCAACUAGAGUCCAGAUCGGAGUUCUAUUCAUCCGGUCUGUUACUUGCGACCGAGCCCUCGCCUUGCGGCUACGUUUGCGCCACCUACAGCCCGGGAGGGUGAGCGUCAUGGCGGCUUCUUUCCCGCUCCCAGUGACCCAGGACCUGUUCACGUUGCGUGCCACGUUGCAGGAGCUGCUGCAGUUCCUGAGGAAAGCCCUGUCCAUUUCCAAUGCACAUACGGUGGACUUCUACACGGAGUCCGUGUGGGCGGAACUGGUCGACUUGCCCCCGGAGACCGUGCUGAGGGUACUGAGGAAGGCAGUGGCAGAGGCGGAGGCCCGGCCCUCGGAGGCGCGCCUCCUGGUGGAAGCUGAGAGGCAAUCAGGUAUUACCAAUUUUCCCAAAAUAUUUUGUGAGACUUCCCAGAAGCUGGUGAGUGUGGAGGCCUUUGCUCUGGCUGUGAGAUCUUAUUCUGUACCAAAUUUGGGAAUAUGUACUCCUUUUGAACAGUUGCUUACAGCCCUUCGAGGAAAUAAAAAACAGAGAACUGGUGAAAAUGUGAAACCAGAUGAAUUUAUGAAUUUGAAAAAAUCUCAUGAAGUUCAGGCUAUGUCAGAGCUGAUCAGCAGUAUUGCUGAUUACUAUGGAAUAAAGCAGGUAAUUGACCUGGGUUCUGGAAAAGGCUACCUAAGCUCUUUUUUGUCCUUGAAGUAUGGCUUAAAAGUUUAUGGAAUUGAUUCAUCAAAUACCAAUACUCAUGGAGCUGAGGAGAGAAACAGGAAAUUGAAGAAACAUUGGAAAGUCUACCAUACUCGGUCAAAAUUAGAUGUCAAUGGACUGGCAUUAAAAAUGGCAAAAGAAAGGAAAGUGCAGAAUGAAAUUAAGUAUAAAGUAGAUUUUGAUGGAAUGUGUAACAACAGUCCUGCAAAUCAAGAAAAGAUGUCUGCCUCAGGUUUUUUGCCAGAUUUUUCGGAUUCUCUAAUUUCUAACAUUAGAACACAAAUGGAAAACCUACAUGUGUAUUCACAUCGAGAAGAAAACUUGUGUUUUGAAAAUGCCUUUGCUCUUAUAGACCUUUUGCCUAUUAAUGCUAUAGAACCUGCUUCAUUCCAAACACCUAAGAGAAAAAUGUCUGAAGCAAAUAAAGAGAGAAGAAAACUGACAUCAAAGUCAAAUGAAUCAAAUAUAUAUUCACCUUUAACAUCUUUUAUCACUGCUGAUUCAGAACUGCAUGAUAUUAUUAAAGAUCUGGAGGAUUGUUUGAUGGUAGGUCUACAUACUUGUGGUGAUCUUGCUCCAAAUACUCUGCGAAUAUUUACUUCCAAGUCUGAAAUCAAGGGAGUUUGCAGUGUGGGUUGUUGCUACCACCUCUUAUCUGAAGAGUUUGAAAAACCACAAAAAGAAAGUACCCAAGAAAAGUGGGGAUUUCCAAUGUGCCAGUAUUUAAAGGAAGAGAGAUGGUGCUGUGGUCGUAAUGCCAGAAUGUCAGCAUGUUUGGCAUUGGAAAGAGUUGCAGUUGGCCAAGGGCUGCCUACUGAAUCACUCUUCUAUCGAGCCGUCCUUCAGGAUAUUAUUAAAGAAUGUUAUGGCAUCACCAAAUGUGAUCGGCACGUGGGUAAAAUUUAUUCAAAAUCCUCUUCCUUUCUGGACUAUGUCAGAAAGUCUCUAAAGAAGCUUGGAUUAGAUGAGUCCAAGCUGCCAGAAAGAGUUAUAAUGGACUACUACGAGAAGUAUAAGCCUAGAAUGAAUGAGCUGGAAGCUUUUAAUAUGUUGAAAGUUGUUCUGGCUCCUUGUAUAGAGACAUUGAUUCUUCUAGAUCGACUUUGCUACCUGAAAGAACAGGAAGAUAUUGCAUGGGCUACACUUGUGAAGUUGUUUGAUCCUGUGAAAUCUCCCAGAUGUUACGCUAUUAUUGCCCUGAAGAAGCAGCAAUGAUUUCAUUUGAAGCAAGUUUCUUCUUGAGAAAAGCAAGAUAAUGGUGGAUGCAUAACCCCGUAGACCUCAAGCAAUGGAUGAUUUCUUGGUUUUCCUGCCUCUAAAUGGCACUGAACACGUUCAGAACAUGCUGUGGAGAAAAGGGAGGAAAUGAAUACACUGAUCCUCCAUGGGAAAAAACUAGCCCUUCCUCUGAGAGAAAAGAAUAAUGCCAGGUGUCCUCAUAUGUGUCAAUUCCUGUGGGAAGCAUUUGCUGAUAUUCUGCCCAUAGCUCCACCACCACCCAAGUGAAGGGUAAGAACAUCAUCUUGGUCACUCCCAUGUAUGCUUAUUAGGGCACAUAGACUGUAAAUUGCAUGCCUACUUCCUUAUCUGCCUAGUGGAACCUAAGUUCCUCAAAGGCAAGAACCAUGUGAUACACCUUUGAAUCUCCAGAUUCUGACCUGUAGCAUUGUCUAAUCUCACAUGUUUAAUGAAGGUUUAUUGAAACUUUCUUAAUAAGAUGAAAUAAUAUACAAUAUAUUAUGAUUAUGUAUAGUAUAAGAUGAAAUAAUGCAGAGCUGGUAAUAGUGCAAUAUUCUAAACUGAAGUAGUAAAGACGCUUUUAUUGCAAGACAGCCUAAGUAGUAGGUCUGUGAAAUGGGAAUACAGAGGGCAAAUCUAAACCAUUUCUGUGCCAUGGACCCCUUUGGCCAUCUGGAAAUGUCUUUGGGCCUCUUCUCAAACAUUUUCUUUUAAAUACAAAGUGAAAUACAUAAUAUGACAAAGGAAACCAAUCAUAUUGAGAUCGUUACUAAAAAAUUUUUUUAAAGUUAUAAUUUAGUAGUAUGUGUGUGUUUAUUAACUCAUUGAAUAAAAAGAUCAUGUAGCAGUUCUAAAACUCUAAUUUUUAAGUAACAAUAAAUGUCAACAAUAUUUGAAGAUUCCGGCCAUAACUGUAAUGUGACACAGAAAUAUCUGUACCUUCUAUUGGCAAAAGUUGCAAGUACUGCCAGUACUGCUGAGGUUUGUUGUCCACCUUUAGAACUGAAGGAAACCCUAAAUUACUAUUAGCAAUUAGUGAGAAUAAAGAAGAAUAUUUUCUCCAAGCUCCAAGAUCACGGAUGCCCUGAAUUCUAUCUGUGGAUCCUCUGGGCUCAGUCAACCCCCUGUCUGUGAAACACAGGGAAACAGAACACCUAAAGUAACUACCAAGAAUAGCAAUUCUUUCAUCUUUGGAGGAAUGGUAUCUUCUUAAAUCAAUGAGGUCUCCACUUACACUCUAUAGUGAACAACUGUUUCAGAGGUACUUAGGUUUCUGAAGGAUAACAAUAUCCACUUUAUAUAUAUAAAAUAUAACAGUCUACAAUACUUACUAGAAAACUUCAGUAAUAACAGCAGGGUGGUAUUUGUUUAAAGAUAAUUAUAUAGAUGAAUGGCACAGACUAGUGAGCUCAGAAAUCAGCCCACACCUGUUCAUUCAGUUGGCUUUUGACAAAGCUGCCAAAGCAAUUCAGUGGGUUUAAAUACUUUUUUCAACAAGUUUUGCAAACAACUGCAUAUCAAAAUGAAAAACCAAAAAAGCUUAACUUUGACCACAUAUCACAUACAGGGUACUUGAAAUGGAUCUUUGACCUGAAUGUAAAAAACUGCUAGAAGACAACAUAGGAAAAAAUAUUUGUGACCUUUGGUUAAGGAAAGAUUUCUUAGGCACCAAAAACAUGAACCAUAAGUGAAGAUUUCACAGACUGGACUUCAUCAAAUUUAAAAUGUCUGCCCUUCAAAAGAAAAUGAAAUGCCCUGUUAAGAAAAUGAAAAGACAGUCCACAGAUUGGUAAAAGAAAAAAAAAUUAGCAAAGCUCCUACCUGAUAAAGAGCUUGUAUGUAGAAUACAAAAAUAGACAAAAAAAAAAAAAAAAAACCUCAGUAAAAAGAAAAGCAAAAGAUUUGAACAAAUAUUUCGCCAAGGAAGAUAUACAAAUGGCAAUGAACAUGUGUAAAAAUAUUCAUCAUUAAUCAUCAAGAAAAUAUGAAUUAAAAGCACAAGGAGGCAGGGAGAUACCACUACACAACCUUUCAAAUGACUAAAAUUAGAAGGAUUGAUAAUAUUGCUAGAGCCCACAUAAAACAAAGAGAGCUCUGAAGAUUGCUCAGGCAAAUGCAAAUAGUACAGUUAUUUUGGAGAACAGUUUGGCAGAUUUUUUAUAAAGUUAAACAUAUACUUACCAUAUGACCCAACAAUUCCACUCAUAGAUAUUUACCCAAGAGAAAUGAAAACAUAUGUCCACACAGCAAAUGUUAAUAGUUGCUUUAUUCCUGUAGCUGAAAGUCUAUCACAAGCGAAAUGGAUAAAAUUAUUAUGAUAUAUUCAUAUGAUGGAAUACUUCUCAACAACAAGCAAUGGACUACAUGUACAUGUAACAACAUGGAUGAAUUUCAAAAGCAUUAUGCUAAGUGGCUAAGUGAAAUAAGACAGACACAACAGAUUACAUUCUGUAUGAUUCCAUUUGUAUGACAUUCUAGAAAAGUCAAAACCGUAGAAACAGAAAACAGAUCGGUCACUGGUUGCCAGUGGGCUGUGUGUAAAGAAAGGGAUCAUCUACAAAGGGGCAUACGGGAACUUUCUGGGGUGAUGAAAAUGUCCCAUAUGUUAAUUUGGGUGGUGAAUGCACGAUUUGUAUGUUUGUCAAAUUCAUUAAACAGUACACUUAAAAAGGGUGAAUAUUGCUACAUAUAAAUAAUUGUAUCUGAAUAAAACUUGACUUUUUAAAAAAUUCUAGUUUUAUCAGAGAGACAUUAUAAAUGAUAUUUUGUUACUAGAGCUAAAUUGUCCUUUCAGAGAAUUCAGUCUUAGGAUUUUCCCCCAAAAUGAAAGGCAUUUGUGCAUACUCUACAGAGAGGAACAGAUGCAUUGGCUCAGUGUCUUAUUGAGUUUAUACGCUAUUUGGAAAUUGGAUUGCUUUAACAAAUUACUUGCUAGCCAGGAAAAGCAUUAAGGGAUUAUUUGUCCACCAUGAUUUCAAAUUUUUCCCUAAUGAUAAAAUCAUUUGAAAUAAAAGGCAGCAGCCAAAGUAGUUUUACUCAGGGAGAUAUUAUUUCAUACAUAGACAUGUAAGAAAUGGUAUAAGCAAGAAAAGGAAAUAUACUCCAAUUUUUAAAUUUUUGAACUUACUUUAAGUGUUAUAAAUAACAGCAAACAAUUUCAAUCCUAAAUAGCACAUAUUUCAGAUUUCCUUAUAAUCGCUUCUCAACUUAAAGACUUGAAAUCACAUAUGAAUGUGGGUAUUUAAACUUCACUUUUUGCAAUUUGAAUCUUUACUUCUCAGGCCACUUUAAUACCUAUUUCAAUGCUGUUUGAGGAUACUGUUGGAUUAUAUUACUGUUUUUACUUGUUUAUGUGCUCUAAUGUUUUCCUACUGUGCUAGAGAACAUUUUGCUUUAAUAGCAUUCUAUGUAUUUCAAGAAUUUCUUUGUGAGUGAUGUGUCUUUCAAUAAAGCAAAGAGAAACUUCAAAAUCUUCAUAAAAGCAAUGUCCUUCAUUUACUUGUUAAUAGAACAGUAACAUUAUCUGCCUUAUCCAAAAUAAUUUUUUUUCAUUCAUAGUAAGUGAAGAACCAACCAGCACUUAUUUUAAAUGAGUUUCUGUGUAACUGCCAAAUUAAAUGAAUUAAUCUUUACCUUUGGGUCUUGUACUGUCAUAAUGUUAGUUGUUUUAAUGAACUGAUGAUAAUUUAUUUUAUUUUUUUAUUCAAUUUUUUGCCAGAAAGGCCAAACUAACUUCAAAUAUUUUUCAUUUUUUCCAAAGAUAUGUUUGAUCUCCCAGUAAGUGUUUACUGUGUUUACAUGAUAUCUCUUCUUUUGUAUAUCUAGAUCUGCUGCUAAUACACUAGCUUCUAGCCACAUGGGCUUAUUUAAAUUAUUUAAAAUGAAAAGUUGUGUUUCUCGGUCACACUGGACAAAUUUCAUGUGGUCAAUAGCCAUAUGUGGUUUGUGGCUAUCCUGUUGGAGAGCACAGAUAUGUAAUAUUUCCAUCAUUGUCUUAGUUCUUUUGGACAGGGGUGGUCUAAAUCAGGGUCAGGAAACAUUUUUCUUGAAGGGCCAAAUAGUAAAUAUUUUAGAAUUUAUGGGCCAAUGAGCAAAACUGAGGCUGCUAUUUAGGUACUUAAGUAACCAUUUGAAAAAUAGAUCCACUUAAAGACAGAAGAAAAAAGUAAGCAUUCUUAACUUGAUGGCUGUAGAAAGCAGGCAACAGGCUGGAUUUGAGCCAUAGUUUGCCCACCCGUGGUGCAGAUCUUUCAGUCCUUGAUUCAUUAAGCACACCUUUAUUGAGUACAUCUAUGUUUUAAGCACUGGGCAACAUAUUAAGCAAAGUGUAGUGAACAAGAAAACAUAGUCCCAGACCUUAUGGAGUUCAGAACAUAACAGGAAAAGCACUUUAACAAAAAUUGCACGAUUCAUCAAUUAUUAUAAUUUAACAAAUAAAAUGAAAGGAUGAACAGGAUGUUAUGAAAGGAAGUAACAGAGGAACCUAAACUUGUGUGAAAGAUUGACUUGAUUCUAAAAAUUAUAAAUUAUCUGCAACUAAUAUUAAUCUGUAAUAUAUGGCAAGUACUGUUUCUUACAGUCUUUGUAGUUGACCCAUGUGAGAAAGAUGCUAUAAAAGAUCUAGCUAGUAUUUCUAAAUGGAUUUGUGUUUAAAUAUAUGAUAUUCCUAUAUGCCAUCUGUUUUAUAUAUGGGAAUUAAUAGUACGUCUAAAAAUUAUAUUUGCUAAAAUAACGUUUAUUGAUGUUUGGUGUUUUAUUUUCCUCUAUUAGAGCCUUUUAUAAGAAUAAAAGUGUAUAAAUUAAAUGCUUCCUUGUGACCAGAAAAACUUGUGACUAAUUAACUCCUAAAGUGGCCCCAAUUUCCUAUUGUUUGUAAUCAAAAUUCAAAUUGAGCCCUUCAUUAAACAAAACAAUGCGAUGUUACUUUAACAGUUUUUUUUAACAUACCAAUUUUUCCAUUUAUGAGAACUCAGUAUACAAAUCAGCAAAGCAAAUUAAAAUAAAAAUAGAUGCUAUACUGUCUUCCCAUAUAUUGGCAGUGUUCCUCAAGAUUUUAUUUGGUUUUCUGAGCUUUUAUUGCACUUUGCAGUUCAUAUAAAUGUGGCCUUUUUUAUUGCGGUGUCAAGAACUUUAUAUAAAUCUAACUCUUUAACCACCGAGCAUGUGAGAGAGAUCUGAAUGAGCAGAAGCCAUUCUAAAUUGAGCACACGCCUCGACUGACAAAUAGGCCAAGCUGAAGUGGUUUAGAGAUUACAUCAUGUGCCACAUACCUGCUUUGUUGCAAUAAAUAAACCCCAGACUGAAAUAUGGCUGGUUAUACAUUGAGAUGAGGAUGAAAUAAAGGGAAUGAAAUACUUUCUGAGGUCAUGACAUUGCAUUUUAAUUCUUCAAUUUCGCUAUAAUUAACAAGCCCAGGAACAAAUCUUUCUGCUGAUUCAGGUUUAAGUUCUUUUCUGGUGGCAAGUGAAGUGCACCAAGAAGCUAGAAUUUGACAUUCCCUCCAUGGCUUCUUAGAACAAUGCAUGUUGGAAUAAAGCCAAGAAUAGUGGAGUUUAAAAACCAAUUAAAAAACAAAAAACAGUGACUGAACCCAUCAAGAAAUGAUUCCACUUUUGAAUCACUAGCUGAGCUCGGGUCUUCUAUUACCUUUGCACAGUUUUCAGCACCGAGCUGCUGCUGUUACUCUUUAAUGCAACUCUGGGUAUAAAUUAAAGAUGCUGGCUCCCUCGAGGCAGAUCCUGAAUUCAUCUUUACUGAGAGAGAGAAAAAAUGUUACACCUACUUAAUCCAGAAGUUUGAAGGCCCCACACAGGAAUCAGGUCUUAGUGUCAUCUGAGGUGGAGUCAUCCUGACAGCCGGCAUACAUUUUCCUCAUGGAGCAUGGGACGACUUCAGAGCAUCCAGUGGUCGAUCUAUGGAUGAGCUCACCCUGGGCUGCUUCCGUCUGAGAUUCCUUUGGUCUCCAGGAAGGAGCCUCGCCCUCUUCACUCACACAGUACCAUCACUGCUGAACCUGAGGUUGCUCCUUUGGCGGUUUCCAUUCGCUGGAACCUUUGACGCAGGAAUUGGUGCUUGUACUGAGGUGGAAAGGGGACACAGUUGGCUGCCGCGAUCACAGCAGGUGGGGAGGUAGGAGUAAUUGGUGCCUUGAAUCUACUCCACCCUUUGUUUCUGUACAGAACCUGUGUCAGUUGGAUCCGUGUGUCCUAAUCCUGAUUCUUGAGAUCUCAACCAUGUCAAAAUGUCAUCUGGCACAAGUUCAGACUCUACUUGCGUUUCAGAUGUCCCGCCAUUAUCAUCUAUCACUGAGACCCUUCACGUUUCCUUUUGAUUCCUGUAGCCCAGAAGAAGGCUAAAAGAUCUGCUGGGAUCUCUUUUUCCCCAGUGGAAGCUCUCUGCCUCAGUCAAGAUUAAUUCUUAAACCCUAAGCAAAAUGAUGGCCAACAAUUGCCCGCCUAUUUCAGAACGUGGUUCUCCUUUCUCUGGAAUUUUUGUUUAUGCUAUUUCCUUACUCUCUGAUAUCAUUAAAAAUAUGUGUUUUGUAG